UAUCAUCUUUCUCAUCCAACCCCCAAAACCACUACCUGAAAAAGGAGUAGGAACAAGUGAAACACUAGGAACAUCAGAAGAGUAGACAAACAGAGGGCUCGUAGGAUCAAUAGACGAAGCACUAUUAUGAUUCAUAUUUAACAUUAGGAACAACACUAAGUAGAAAUCGAUUCAAUUUCUGCGAGCGACUCGACAGACUAGAUUUUCACAAAAACACAUGAAAACUUCCUAACUAAAAGUGAGAAUAUGUUUACCGAACUUCUUUGCUACCGGAGAAGAACGACCUUCAAUGCACGAUCAAAACCCUAGCUCCGAGUGAUACAAAACCAACGCUUGUGAAUCCCCCGGAAUCAAGCACGAAAGGUGUCGAAAAUCUACCCAAAACACCGAGUUGAGGAGAAUGUUAACAUGCGAAACCAAAACAAAACUCCGAUUCACCAGCUAACUGAAAAAUGCACAGAAACUGGAAGCACCAGUGAGACCUCAACAAAACUGACCCGGAUCGACGAAGAAUAGAGAAGAAGCGUCCUGAAAAACCAC
rnacentral:lncRNA from 1 species